CUGAACUGGUAGGACGAACUGUUAGACUCGCUAUUCCAUUUGUGCCCAAAAAUCUCCUGCGACCGCGAAGUCACAAGCUUUUGGCCGUCCCAAUUACACGCACUGUAGCACAUAAAAACUCGCCUGCUGUGCGGGCUCUAAGGCUGCUGAACUCCUUUCUGUCAUGGGCACCAGAUUGUGAUAUGUUUGCAAGUCGAUGGACGGCUGUGUAUCAGAUGUGUCUGCGGUAUUGCGAGGUGAUGGAUGAAAGUUGAUUGUGAUCUGUUUUUCCUAGUAUGUAAUCCUAUCAUAUAAUCUGAAUUGUACAGUGCUUUGGUCUCGACUGUAAUGCUUUAUACAGGGUGAUUCAUGAGACGUGAGCUGGACUAAGCCUACACAAUCAGUAAAUGUUAAUGAAUCGUUCACCAUCAUAUUUAAGUAAAACAAUCACGCUUUUUAUCUGUUAUUUAACUUUUUGUUAAGGACAAAU